rnacentral:lncRNA from 1 species
AAAAAAUAAAAAUCAGAUGAAGAAAAAUAAAAGAGAAUUUUAGAAAUUAUUUUGGGAUUCUUUGGAUAAAAAAUGAAAUCACUACAAAAUUUUAAAGAAAAAGAAAUUUAAAGUAAUAAAAGAAAAAGAAAUAAAGUUAGAAAAAACCAGGAGCGUUGGAUCACUCCUCUUUAAUUGAUGUGGCAGAUCCAACAUUCCAAAUAAUGAGAAACACAAUGGAAC